GCUAUGAUGUUUCAUGAGCCACGCUUCUGGGUAUUAUGUGAAAGUGACCUAAUCUACUCAUCUUAACUCAUCAAAUGAAAACUGGACAAACAUGUUUAGGGAUCUGGUUUCGCUGGUAAUACAUAUACUUUGAGAAUGCUUUCAUUUUCAUUUAAAUCCUCCAUAAACAUUCGAUGUGUGGAAAGUUGUUGAGAAGACAGUGAGCCUGCAGCAGCAAAUGAAAGGAUCCAGAUAAUCUGGAAGGAACAGCUGUCUGCAUCUGAUUUUUAUUCUUGCGCAGCCCCAGCUCAAACUGGAACCCCAAAUUACUAUUCUGACAACAGCGAUUGAUACAAUCAGCUCCAAGGGUUGGGAAUUGUAGGCCCCAUUCUUCAAAGGUUCAAUGGCCAGAAAGUCCCCGACCUGGAGUGAAAAUCAUUGCUACAGUUACUCUUCUGCUUGCCAUUGCACAGCACAGUAAAUCUAAUACCUGUGCACGAGACAACUCCAGGAAUCACAACUAAAUAUAGCGGCAUGCAUCUUAACCAAGACAACCUGAUAUUAUCAUAUAGCAGCAAUAUCACAGGAGAUGUAUUCAUGUUGAUUUGUUUUCGGAUGUAAUUAAAGAU